AAGGGCAUCAAGAUCCCAGAAGGGCAGGUGGUGAAGCUCCCCUCCUUAGUGAAACCGGCGGCGGCUGUCCUGCUGACACAGAUGACGACCAACAAUUAACCGGAUUCAUUGAGGUGGAAGAAGAAUUCUGCGUAAAAGUCGAGCCUGUCGUCGACGAUAUCACGCCAUACGAACCCGAAAUGUCGACAAAGAGUGACGACUCCGACGACGACUCCGACGAGUUAGAUACAACUACAGAUAAAGAGCGUUGUAGACCAUGUAAAAUUAAUUUUAAUCGUAAAAGAAAAUUACUACGUGAGCACUUUAAACUUGUGCAUGAUAAGAUAGUCGUAGACAUCGACAGGAAACUAUUCUGCCUCAAGUGCAAUAAAGGUAACAACUCCAUCAACAACUUCAACAGGCAUCCUAAAACUUGCCGAGGUAAAAGGGACCCGGCCAAUACGUAUAAGAAGAUUGUGAUUGUUAGUCAUGUGCACAAACUCAGCGAAGCUUUUAAAGUGCAAAUUGUGAACCUUUUACAACAAGGCAUCCAAAUUCAGGAAUAAUUUAAUAGCUACUUUAUAUGCAAAUACAUAAAUAUGCUUUGUAUUUAUGUAUGGAUGUAUCUUUUUUUUACAUUAUCAAUCAAAUCAUCCAAAGUCAUUGAAGGAGUCAUUGCCAUACUGUCAAUUUAUCCGAGCGAAAAAAAUAUGCUCAAAUCCGGAGGAUGCCGAGAGACAAAUUAAUUUAAUUACUGACAAGUUUACUAAUAGAGGAUAUCCUAAAAAUGUUUUAAAAUUGUGUAAUGAAAUGGUACUUCUUAUGAAUAGAUAUGAUUUACUCAUACCCAAAACUGAUUUGGUGAUAAUACACCUGAAACAAAUCCAACCCCAAAUUCUCGAUACAUACAAAUAGAAUAUGAGUUGUAAUCCAAUACAGGAAAAUGAAGUAUAUAUAGUUAUACCUUUCUAUUAGAAUAUGUAUGGGUUCAAAAAACUUCUACUACAAUACAUACGUGAACAAGCUGACAAGAGUACCAAUGUUAGAUACAAAAAGAUAGUCAAUAAUCUAAAUUUAGUGUUGUCUUUAAAACGGCGAACUCUCUUGAAAUGUACUGUAAAAGCCACCCAACAAAAUAAUGUCAUUUUUAAAGUGUAAGUCUCAAAAUUAAAACGGCUGAAUCUCAAAAAUACGAACUUUAUUCUAAAAAAUCACCACGUAGGUAAUUAUUUAUAAAAAUUUAUUUAUACAAUUUAUUAAUAGCUGGAUAUAUAUUUUGUCAAUCUUACUGGCACAUUACAUUCUUAUGUCUUAUUUUUUAUCCAAUUGUAACUUUACUUAAUUUAAACAUAAUGUAUUUUUACAGCCUGAUGAAGCUGAAUUAUAUUACGAAACGCGUCGCUGGUGAAUAAAACCAAUUUUUUGAAAUCA